CAUUCAGCAGGAUGGCCAGAUUUUCUACAUAAGAAGGAUAUCGGCCCAUCUAGAGUCACAGUGUUUUAGACAUAUAGUUGUUUGCCUAAUCAA